GUCGCGUGCAACGUCGCCGAUCGUAGAUGGACGAUCGCGGCUCCGGCGUCGUCGCAUUGCACGAAAAUUACUAUAAAUUUGGCGAAGUGACUUGAUUAAAGCAGAAAUCGAAAUUCGACGACCCAAUGAACAGUAACUUAAGUGAAACUUCGGGAUACAAAUGGUGUAAUUUACACCUGAAUGCUAGGAUUCAAGCUGAGCUUUCAGAAACGAGAGGGUUGACAAGCAAGUUUGAGAGCCUGCUAUUCUUGAAUCACACACCAGGUAUGCUUCGUACUGGGACUUUACAUUUGAGAAGCUACACACGUGCUCCAUUUGACCUUACAACAAGUACAUUAGGAAAUAAGUAACGAGUUGAGUAGACUAAAUGGGCUAUUAGUUUAUUUGAUGCUUGUGUUUGAAGCAUGCUUAACUUGCUGGGACAAAGUUGAAAGGUUGGUGGUUGUUGUGAGCUUGUUUUUGGAUAGAUGGCCAGAUUUUGUCUCACCUUCCACCUGUUUUCUCGCCCUCAAGUCUCUUUUACAUUGAUCAACUCUCUUCAAUAUUAACAAACUAUGUUUCUUCCUGAGUUUUUAAGUACAAAUGAUAGCAAUUCGCGUGUCGGCUUUGGUGAAAACUACCGUACAAGUCAACAUGCUUUAUUUAUUAUAUUACUUAUAGUUGCCUUGGUUUCUGAAUUUUGUUCCUAAUUGCGUAAAGAAGUGGCUGAUAAGCCUAGUUACCGAU